GGGCAAUUAGCUCAGUUGGUUAGAGCACUUCCUUCACACGGAAGGGGUCAGAGGUUCGAAUCCUCUAUUGCCCA
rnacentral:tRNA from 1 species